UUACAAUUCAAUUAUGAUUACAACAGCAAAAUAUUUUUUCAAUUAUAAUUAUAUCAUAAUUGAAAUUAAUUAUCAAUUACAAUUAUAAUUGACCCCAGCACUGGCCGAUAUACUGAAAACUGUUGACUCAUCAUCUUUGUCCCCUGCAGGCUGCAGAUCUGAAGAGGAGGAGACAGGAAAUGGUAAAAGAAGAGGAUGGAGCAGACGGGAUGAUGGAGGUGCAGACAUAUGCCAUUGUCCUCAAGAUCAGAAGAGUUUGUAUUUCUUCAACAAUGGUGUCUUGUCCCUGUGUUUGCUCAGACUUUACCUCAGCUGAUCAGAGAGAGAGAGCAGCUGAAGGAGGAUCUGGACAGGAUGAGAGAGGAGAAGCUUAGCGCCCAGGAUCUCCUCCUCACAGCUAGAAAAGACCGGAGUAAGUCGUGGCAGGAAGAGCAGAGGCUGAGAGAGGAGAGGGACAGAGCCAGGGAGGACAAGGAGCAACUGGAGAGCAAGGUGGCUCUGCUACAGGAACAAUGUGACCUUCUGAGCAGCAGAGUCAGUGAACUGGAACAACAGAAAAUUGGGGUGACCGUAUCGCCCAGAUCAGAGCACAAGAAAAAGACAGAGGAGACGCUGCCCUCCAGUGGUCAGAAAGAUGCACCGCUACACAUGGAGGACCUGGAUGACCCCCCAAGGUCUCCUGUGCCAGACAGCCCCAGCAGCAGCGAUGAGUACCAGCGCUACAUCUCCUCACACCACAGCUCCGCCCGCAAAAGCAAAGCCUUAUUAGAGAAGGAGUUGGCGAGACAGGCAGCUCUGCAGGCCACCCAGAACGGCUGCACCGAGGAGCUCAGACCCCAGGAGUUUUUCUCUGGACUGGGCGCAGAGAGGAGGGUAGCCUUUGACGUGACAGAGUCCGAGCUGAGCAGCGCUGUGGAUCCACCACAUGGAGGAGCUCGGCCCAUUGUCCCAGACAAAGUCCAGGAGCUAGCAGCGUCUCUGCAGCUGAUCUCAGGCCAUCUCUACUCCGCCAUGAGUUUAUUUGGUACACUGGCUGAGCAGCAGGGAACUGCACAGCCCACAGCUUUGCCUCAUUCUCACUUCACCUUGGCCCCGGGUUCCGCAGCGCCCCCUUCUGCUGGGAUGCUGUCAGACUCGCUCUGGAACUGGAGACCCCAUGGCAUCUCCACAGCUGCGCCUGUCUUCAGCACCCCCAUCAACAGCAGCCUGAGGGCCUCUGAACAGCUGCUUCAAAGCCGCUGGAGCCAGAUUUUCCCAGGUAUGUCGGGAGGGUGGGGCUAAUGAAAUGCAAC
rnacentral:lncRNA from 1 species